rnacentral:rRNA from 1 species
GAUGAACGCUAGCGGCAGGCCUAACACAUGCAAGUCGAGGGGUAGAAUUAGCUUGCUAAUUUGAGACCGGCGCACGGGUGCGUAACGCGUAUGCAAUCUGCCUUGUACUGAGGGAUAGCCCAGAGAAAUUUGGAUUAAUACCUCAUAGCAUUAUGAAAUCGCAUGGUUUUAUAAUUAAAGUUCCAACGGUACAAGAUGAGCAUGCGUCCCAUUAGUUAGUUGGUAAGGUAACGGCUUACCAAGACGAUGAUGGGUAGGGGUCCUGAGAGGGAGAUCCCCCACACUGGUACUGAGACACGGACCAGACUCCUACGGGAGGCAGCAGUGAGGAAUAUUGGUCAAUGGACGCAAGUCUGAACCAGCCAUGCCGCGUGCAGGAUGAAGCAUCUAUGGUGUGUAAACUGCUUUUGUACGGGAAGAAACACUCCUACGUGUAGGAACUUGACGGUACCGUAAGAAUAAGGAUCGGCUAACUCCGUGCCAGCAGCCGCGGUAAUACGGAGGAUCCAAGCGUUAUCCGGAAUCAUUGGGUUUAAAGGGUCCGUAGGCGGCCUUAUAAGUCAGUGGUGAAAGCCCAUCGCUUAACGAUGGAACGGCCAUUGAUACUGUAGGGCUUGAAUUACUUGGAAGUAACUAGAAUAUGUAGUGUAGCGGUGAAAUGCUUAGAUAUUACAUGGAAUACCAAUUGCGAAGGCAGGUUACUACAAGUUUAUUGACGCUGAUGGACGAAAGCGUGGGGAGCGAACAGGAUUAGAUACCCUGGUAGUCCACGCCGUAAACGAUGGAUACUAGCUGUUUGGAGCAAUCUGAGUGGCUAAGCGAAAGUGAUAAGUAUCCCCACCUGGGGAGUACGCACGCAAGUGUGAAACUCAAGGGAAUUGACGGGGGCCGCACAAGCGGAAGAAGCAUGUGGUUAAUCGAUGAUACGCGAGGAUCCUUACCAGGGCUUAAUGGCAGACGAACAGACUGGCAAACAGUUUUUUCUCCGACGUCUUUCA